UACGUAGGUCCCGAGCGUUGUCCGGAUUUAUUGGGCGUAAAGCGAGCGCAGGUGGUUUAUUAAGUCUGGUGUAAAAGGCAGUGGCUCAACCAUUGUAUGCAUUGGAAACUGGUAGACUUGAGUGCAGAAGAGGAGAGUGGAAUUCCAUGUGUAGCGAUGAAAUGCGUAGAUAUAUGGAGGAACACCGGUGGCGAAAGCGGCUCUCUGGCCUGUAACUGACACUGAGGCUCGAAAGCGUGGGGAGCAAACAGG
rnacentral:rRNA from 1 species